rnacentral:rRNA from 1 species
UACAGAGGGUGCGAGCGUUGUCCGGAAUCACUGGGCGUAAAGGGCGCGUAGGUGGCGAGCCAAGUCCAUGGUGAAAGCUCGAUGCUCAACAUCGAGUCGGCCACGGAUACUGGUGCGCUUGAGCACUGUAGAGGCUAAUGGAAUUCCGGGUGUAGCGGUGGAAUGCGUAGAGAUCCGGAAGAACACCGGUGGCGAAGGCGGUUAGCUGGGCAGUUGCUGGA